rnacentral:rRNA from 1 species
CGAACGCUGGCGGCAGGCUUAACACAUGCAAGUCGAACGCACCGCAAGGUGAGUGGCAGACGGGUGAGUAACGCGUGGGAACCUUCCCUUUGGUACGGAAUAACUUCGGGAAACCGAAGCUAAUACCGUAUAUCUCCUCCGGGAGAAAGAUUUAUCGCCAAAGGAUGGGCCCGCGUUGGAUUAGCUAGUUGGUGUGGUAAAGGCGCACCAAGGCGACGAUCCAUAGCUGGUCUGAGAGGAUGAUCAGCCACACUGGGACUGAGACACGGCCCAGACUCCUACGGGAGGCAGCAGUGGGGAAUCUUGGACAAUGGGGGCAACCCUGAUCCAGCCAUGCCGCGUGAGUGAAGAAGGCCUUAGGGUUGUAAAGCU